rnacentral:lncRNA from 1 species
UGGUUCCUGUUAGAAUUAAUUCAUUUUUCAAAAAAUUGUAGAUAAAGUUUGUUAUAGGGUACUUUAGUAUUUUCAUUAAGUCUCACUUGUAUUUAAGCAAGUGAGUGGUGUGAACAAAUAUCAUCAUUAUUCCUUUUACAGUUUGUGUAGUGUAGCAUAGCAAUGUGUGUGCACGUUUGUUGUAACCGUUUUAGAGUAGUGGAAGUUUG